rnacentral:rRNA from 1 species
UACGGAGGAUGCAAGCGUUAUCCGGAUUUAUUGGGUUUAAAGGGUGCGUAGGCGGGAAGAUAAGUCAGUGGUGAAAUCAUGCAGCUUAACUGUAGAAUUGCCGUUGAUACUAUUUUUCUUGAGUGUGGUCAAGGAAGGCGGAAUGUGUAAUGUAGCGGUGAAAUGCUUAGAUAUUACACAGAACACCGAUUGCGAAGGCAGCUUUCUGGGCCGUUACUGACGCUGAUGCACGAAAGCGUGGGGAUCGAACAGGAUUAGA